ensembl:lncRNA
GUGAGGCAAAAUCCCAGUUACUGGAAAAGGCUGUAUCUUCACUGCAUGCUCCUUGCUGACUCAGAGGUAGGACUUGGUAUCACCUGUCUCCGUUGCUGGACGAACAAGCUGGUGGUGCUGUGCUGAUUGCUCACCGGGGCGGUGGCCAAGGCAAAGCUGGGCUCUACACUUCCUUCUGUGUCACACAGUGCAGAGCACUCUUCCCUUCUCCUUAGGCCAUCCCGGGGGCAGGAGUGAUAAAAGGGCAAGUGAUCUGGGUCUGUCCCAGUCCUGGGACACGCUCAAAGCUGAGAAAUAAGAAUGCAUCCUGUACGGCUGGCAGACAACUUUGAAGGCUCUGUGUGCUCAUGAGCUGACAGGGAUCAGACUGCAGGUGACGCAAGAUGGACAAAGGGGCGUUCAGGGGCAUUAGUUACAGUAUGCAAAACAGCUCCUGCGUGUCCUACUGCUGGUGCUGGCCUGGGAAGAGGAAAGCAAAGUGUUAAAGGGCAAAGUCCUCUCUUACUGCGUGAUCUGCUCCAGCCCACAGAAAGUGCUUUUCAUGCGGAGUGUGGCACAAACAGCCCUCUGCCUCUUGGGCCUGCUGUGGGUGAUGGGAGCCAAAUGUUUUGCACAGGCAGCCCCGUUCAGACCACAGUGAUCUCACAAACUCUGCUGUGUGUCUUGUGACAGUGGCUGAGACAGGGAGCCCAGCAGCAGCUCUGGGGAAGAGUGGAAAUCACAUUUCCUGGAAACAAAGGAGAGAGAUAUCUCGCACGUUGCUUGCAUCUACCGUGGGAGGGAAGGCUGAAGAGGUGAAGGCUGGUGCUCAAGACUAGGAAAAGCACCGAAGGCGGAGAGAAGAACGUACUACUUAGUGCAGACAUCUGUCAGAUGGGACGUUUCACCCCCCUGGUGCCACACUUCCCCUCCUGCAGGGGGAGGACAACAACCUGUUGGGAUUCCCACAGGAAAGGGGCUGCGGAAGCGCCUCGUUAUCCUGAUGUAGAACAAUGCAGGCCAUCUCUGAACUGCCUACGCUGGGCCUGGAGACAGCAGCCCCCUCUUCCUCCUGCCCUGCACUGCUGAGGAGCAUUCCUCUGUCUGAUAAACAAGUUGUCUUGCUCUGUUCCGGUGGUAGCUGCCUUGUUUGGGCGUCUCGUCUGGAGAAGGCAUCAGCAGCACUGCAGGAUGAAAGGGGACACGAAGCAGUAGGAUGGACUCAUCCGCCACAAUACUUAACGUUUAAAGAAGAGCACUAUCUGCUGCGGGGUGAGCCCGAGCCCGGGGAUCAGGGUACAAUCUUCCCUCAGAAGUGAGCAAGCAUUACCGGGUGUGCUGGCUGCUGCCGGGCACCGCUGAAUGAGGAGCCGGAGCUGACAGCGUGCUAUUACACCCUGUCCAGCUCAGCCCUGCAGCCCUCAGGACAGGAGGCGCUCACCCAGCUUCAAAGCCACACGGCUCCAAUGCAGAGCCGGCAUAGGCGUGUUCGCAGCGGCGCAUUUCAUCUUUGAAGAAACUCACUACAGACUUUAAAGGCUGUAAAAUCUCCGGGCUGAUCAGAAUACGGGAUUGGAAUACAGCAACGUAGCAUGCACGCCACAAAGCUGCCCCGGGCUCUGGCACGACCACCUACCUGUUGUCCGUGCGAUGGCAGCCACCCGGCCAGCGCUGAGGUGUGCUGCUUGGCUCCCUGCUCCUACAGAGGGGCAAAGGCUCGCUUCUUAACCCCACUCGGGCCGAGCCCAGGACCGAGAGGUGUCUGUGCCGGGGGCAGAGGAGCCUCCCGCUUGCUGCAGAGGCAGGAGCUGCUGUCCCGUCCUGCUGCGCUCCUUGCAGCCAGCGAGCCGAAUGAUCUGAUCUACUGAUCCAGCGUCGGGGAGGGUCUGGGGGGUCUGCCGCCCCGUAAUCUCACUAAACGCGUCCCUCUCACUCGUUUAAUCCCG